UCUUAUUUCUUAGAGUGUGACUACUACUCCAUCGUAUUUAGUAUAGAAAUACUAAAACAAUUUUUUUCAUCAAACAGGGUUCUCUGCAGCAGGGAUUAUGUCUUAUUCAGUUUUGUGCCCUCAAGAACAGCACAGGGCCUAGCACAAUAGAGAUUAACACAUGUUUGCUGUAUGAAUAAAUGAAAUGAAAAAUGAAGCCAAAAACUAAGAUCACAGAAGUUCCGCAGAGGAAUCACAAAGAGUUCUCAAUUCAAUCCAGAAAAUUUUCUGAGCCCUGAGAAGGCGCAAAAAUUGGGAAAAGGAAGGUUAGUGUAGUAUACCAAAAUGAAAAAUACCUCAUCUCUGCAUGAUGGAAGGGACGUGGACACAAUACCACUAAGUAAAAUGGAAAGCAAACUGUGAGAAUAUGAUUCUAUUGGUGAUACAAAUUCAGAGACAUGGGAACACAGGGAAAGAAAGCUUGCUCUAAAAAUGCUUCCUAAAGUAGAUGGUAGAUGAACAAGCUCUUUAAGGAUACUUAAAUUGUCAACAAAAAUAAGUUAUUUCAAAUAGAUGGGAAAAGGUGAACUACUACACAUGAGCGGAAAAGUACAGCUUGGAUUUUGGAAAAGAUGACUAGUCAGAUAUGGCUGCAGUGGCAAGUGUAUUCAGAAAUCAAAUCAGAAAUAAGGGCUAGUUCAAACUCAUGGAGGGCCUCAAAAUGCCAUCAGGAAAUCUGGACUUUGAUCUAUCUGCUUUGAAAAGUCAUUGAAAAUUUUACAAGAGGUCACAAAAAGAUCCAUGGUUUUAGAAAGAAAUAUUUUGCUAUAUAUUAGUCCCUUCUCAUCCACUGGUGAUAAGAGCCACAGUAGAUGCGUGAAACUCUGGGUAGUACUGAACCCACCGUACACUGCAUUUUCUCAGUCUGAUAACUGAGACACCUACUAAGAAACUAAUGGGUAGGCAGAGUGUACAGUGAGGAUACGCUGGACAAAGGAAUGAUUCACAUCCUGGGUAAGAGAGAGUGGGAUGACAUGAGAUUUCAUUAUGCUACUCAGAGCUUCGUGCAACUUAAAACAUAAAUUAUUUCUGGAAUUUUCCAUUUAACAAUUUUAGACUGCAAUUGUGGGUAACUGAAACUGCAGAAAAGUAAAGUAUGGAUAAAGAGAAACUACUGUCGUUUAGAAGAUAAAUGGAAAAAGAUAAAGCCUAAAUUCAAGGAGAUCAAUUUGAAGGCCACUGAUAUCAACCAGAGAGAAAAAUGUAAACCACAGCUGUAAUAAUGGCAAUAGAGAAAAAGACACAGAUAUAAGAUGUUUGAGAAAGAGAACCAAAGUCACUCAACAGUGGAUUGAUGUGGAGUGUUGGACAUGAGAAGGUCCUUAGAAUAAGAGAAUAAGGAAGUCUCUGAGGCUUUAAGUUGAGGCAGCUAGAAAGAUUUUGAAGCCAGUGUGGCAGAGAUCACAGAGAUGAAGACAAUUUCUCAUUAAUUCCCAUACAUUGCCUACUUGCCACACAUGGUUAAAGGACAAAAUUGUUAUAGUAUUCACUGCUUAGAAAUGUUUUAGUUUAUUAUUUAAAUAAAGAGUAGGGAGAUCAAAAAUAUGUGAUUUCAUACUCCAACUUAUUUAAAUUUACAACAAAAAUCCAAAAGUCACAUAAUGCCUCUGUGUCUUAAGGUUUUCAUUGGUAAAAUAAAAGGGCUGGACCAUGAGGAGUUUCUAAGGUCCAUUUUAGACCUAAAGUUUAUGAUCUUGGGUCUUGUCAUUAGUUAAGGAUACGUGCUAUAAGUUAUAUCCAGGGAGCGUCCGAUAACCGGGUAGUCUAGAGUUUAUGAAAGAUAUGGAAACUGUUCACAAAUAUGUAAUAUCUAAAGUAAUGGAAUGGGAUUAGAUAGAAUUCUAUAGAGGGAGAUGAGAGAUAAAUCUUGAGGACAGAUUCAUGGAGAAUCAGUAUAUCCUAUCUUGUGGAAUGCCACCUCUAUCUAUCCCGUUACCCAAGCUAGAAGAAACAUAGAUGUUGUCUUUGACUCCUUUCUCUUCCUUACUCUCAUUCUAACACCAAAUCCAACUGAUAAUACUUCCAAUCCAUCCACUUCUUUCCAUGCCACUGCCAUUUGUCUAACACGGGCUAUCGUCAUGUCUAAUACAAAUGAUUUAAAUAGCCUCUUUUUACAAAUUAAAUUUUUUUUAAAUAAAAGUUAUUUUUAAAAGUAAAACAUAUACAUACAUGGCACAAAAAAAUGUUAAAUUACCAAAAGGUAUACAAUAAAAUGUAUCCCCCCCCCACCCCUGAGCUGUAUUGAAUGGAUAUGCCAUAAUUUAUUUCACUGGUUCCAAUUAAUGGGCACUUAGCUGAUUCACAAUCCUUGGCUUUUACAAAUGAUGUUGCAAUAAACAACCUUUCAUAUACCUUA